GACGAACGCUGGCGGCGUGCUUAACACAUGCAAGUCGAACGGAAAGGCCUGCUUUCCUUUCUGGCUUGCGGGUACUCGAGUGGCGAACGGGUGAGUAACACGUGAGUGAUCUGCCCCCAACUUCUGUAUAAGCCUGGGAAACUGGGUCUAAUUCCCGAUCGGCCUGCAGUGUGGUGGCUGUGGUGGAACACGAUGUUCUAGUGAUUGCGGAUGAGCUCGCGGCCUAUCAGCUUGUAGGUGGGGUAAUGGCCUACCAAGGCGGCGACGGGUAGCCAGCGCGAGGGUGUGGACGGGCACAGUGAGGAUGAGCAGCGGCCCAGGCACCGAGGGGCGGCAGCAGAGGGGAAGGGAGGAAGAUGGGGGGAAGACUGAAGCAGCGGCGCAGCGCGGAGGAUGACAGGCUUCGUGAGGUAAGCUCCUUUCAGGGGCGAAGAAGCCUCUUAGUUGGAAGGGUAGUGACGGUACUGGUAGAAGAAGCACCGGCUAACUACGUG
rnacentral:rRNA from 1 species